AUGGAGCCCCCCAAUCGUGUCCCGGAGGGCCGCUUCUCCUUGCAGCUCGACGACGGCGAGGGCGCCCGUUUUCUGCUCAUCGGGUGCCACCAAGGCCUCGUACUCAGCCGCCAUAGAUUGCUGAACCAGCUCCUGGUCUGGGAUCCCGUCACCGGGGAUCAGCACAGGUUUGCCCGUCCCCUGGGCUUCGAGACGUUGGGACCUUCUGUCCACGGGGCGGUGCUUCGGGCUGCCGGAGACGUCCACCACUUCCAGGUGGUCUUGGUACGCACAGAAAUAAGCGAACAACAUUCACGAGCGAUCGCCCGCGUGUACUCAUCGGAGACCGGCAUAUGGGGUAAUCUCAUGUCAACACCGCUUCCACCCAAGGCUUCGAAUUCUCUUUUGCUAUUCCCCCCUAGGAUCAAUACGGUAUUUCCUGGUGUCCUAGUUGGGGAUUCGCUUUACUGGUUGCUUUCUGGCAUUACGGCUGGCAUCCUCGAGUUUGAUUUGGGUAGGCAGAGCUUAAGUGUGAUACAUGUGCCAGUGGACAUCUAUGCUAGGGGCAGUUCCCACUUCACCGUUAUGCGAGCAGAUGAUGGGGGGCUUGGUUUCUUUUUUCUGUCAAGAUUCACCGCACAGUUAUGGAAGAGGAAGAUUGAUUCUGAUGGUGUUGCUUCAUGGGUGAUGGGAAGAACUUUCGAAAUUGACAAGCUAUUUUCCCUUAAUUCACUGAAGUGGGGAGGGGUCCUUACGAUACGAGGGUUUGCUGAGGACAAUAAUGUGGUGUUCCUGUCAACAGCUACCAGCCUAUUCAUGCUACAGCUUGAGUCAUUGCAGUUGAAGAAACUUUUCGAUACUACAAUCGUGGGCUUCUAUCAUCCAUUCGAAAGUGUCUAUGCUGCAGGCACAGGCAUUGGUGGUGGACAUGGUGGACCUGAACUUUUGCACAACACAUAA
rnacentral:rRNA from 1 species